rnacentral:tRNA from 1 species
CAAAAAAUAGUUUAUUAAAAAUAUUAAUUUUGGAGAUUAAUGAAAUAUAUUUAUUAUAUUUUUUUGA